UACGUAGGGCGCAAGCGUUGUCCGGAAUUAUUGGGCGUAAAGAGCUCGUAGGCGGUUCGGUAAGUCGGGUGUGAAAACUCUGGGCUCAACCCAGAGAGGCCACCCGAUACUGCUGUGACUAGAGUGCGGUAGGGGAGCGGGGAAUUCCUGGUGUAGCGGUGAAAUGCGCAGAUAUCAGGAGGAACACCAGCGGCGAAGGCGCCGCUCUGGGCCGUAACUGACGCUGAGGAGCGAAAGCAUGGGUAGCAAACAGG
rnacentral:rRNA from 1 species